GGUGGUUCUCUGGUGACGCACCCUGGAAUCAGGCUCUCUCCUCUCUGGUUCCAGGUGCGUCACCCGAGAACUGCA
rfam:Myotis lucifugus cont2.29608, whole genome shotgun sequence.